UCUUAAGUUUUCAGUUUCGACCCCGUUUGGUCACUGAAAACUGUACCGAACAGUAAUUUUUAUCAGAUAGCUGUCGAAUUUUAUUUUCCACCUUCCGGGUGUCAGAAUGAUAUGAAACUUUAAAUCUAGCCUCAUAAAAAUAAUUCUGACUUAUCCUCCAGUUUUCACAAUUUUCUGACACUGUACAUUUUCUGCUAAUUUAUUUGUCCUGUUUUCAACAGAAAAUUCUAGAUCUUCUGUUUUCAUUCCGAUUUUAGCACAAGUCACUUCUGACUUAUGUUUUACUCCUCUAAACCCAAUAAAAAUAGUAUCUCACACUAUUUUUAUUUAUUUUUAUUUUUAUA
rnacentral:lncRNA from 1 species